CAAGAGAACUAAACAGGAUCCCCAUAGUAAUGGCGAAUGAACAGGGAUGAGCUCAGCAUGGAAAUUGGGGCCUGUGGCUUUGACUUGUAAUCUUGUGAGGCAUUGCCAACAGAGGCGCAGAUGUAAGUCUCUUGGAAAAGAGCAUCAAUGAGGGUGAGAGUCCUGCUUGUCAUUUGCAGCCCCCCUGUGCACGGUGUGCCUUCUAAGAGUCACGUUCCUCGGGAUUGGAGCGCAAAGUGGGUGGUAACUUUCAUCUGAAGCUAAACAAUGGUUUGGGACCGAUAGGAAACAAGUACCAUGAGGGAAAGGUGAAAAGGACUUUGGAAAGAGAGUUAAAAGUGCCUGAAAUUGCUGAAGGGGAAGCGAAUGGAACCAGUGGUGCUGGGUGAGAUUGUCACAUGCUCCAGGGAUUGGUUGCUGCAUCAGCGCAAGCGAUCUGGCAAUUGUUGAACUGCACGUGUGUGGUGUGUCUUGCCUUGUGUGUCAUUGUGGGUUUAUGCAUUAAGACAAUUCAAAGUGCAUGGCAAUAUGUUUCUGAAUCUAUGAAUGUGAUUUGUUAUGUUUAUGCAUAAGCUUCUUGCUGUCUGUCUGGCUGCAGAGCUCGCCGUCCCCAUUUUUUGGAGAGAUGAGUUGAGCAUUUCCUUCUGCACAGAUCUGGCUAAAUGGUC
rnacentral:rRNA from 1 species